AGAGGCGGCACCGCUGGGGACUGAUGUGGGCGGAGCUGCGACUGCUCUUGCGCGUGGGAAGCACUGGACCAGAUUAACUCUUUCAGAUGUCUCUGAAGGACGUGAGAAGACGACGGCUGCUCCUCCAGCGAAUCUUCAUUCUGUACAAUUGAGUUGUUGAAGAUCCGUGAAGUCGUCUUCAGAGCGGUGAAGUGUUUGUAACUGAGUAACUAAGAUGAAAACGAUGAUGUCCUGCGUCCGUCUCCACUCCAGGGGGAGAGCCGUGCGGGAGAUUGAUGGCGGAUCUGGAAGCUAUUGAGGAUUGAGAUUAGGAAGAUUGAGAUGACUUCCCUGUCAGACACUAAAGACUUGUCCUGAACUAUGACUUCUCACAAUUGUAGCCAAUCAGCUUGGACUCCGGCCUGAUACGUUUACCUUCACCGAUACAUUGUAACAAACUCUCAGGACAGGACAGGGAAAAGAGAAUUGUGCUGCGGAUGUGUUUUCCCAUAAGGAGAAUUAUCGGGACUCGAUACAACUGAAACAAACUUCCAGCUCUGAAAAAGCAUCAGGUCUGCAUUAUUCUGAACCUCUGGAUGUAACGUACAAUAUUUCCAUUCAGUGACAGCAAGCAGAGAUCUAAAAAUGAUUCCCCAAGACUAAGGAGAGC